UUCAAGCAUAAUACUAAACCUGUUAGUUUUUGAUUUAAAAUUAAACAGAAGUAGAAGGAACUAAUUUGUUGAUAUUCCUUUAUCAUGCAAAGAGUUGUGAUAGGGCUGUGCCCCUCCCCAUCGGAGGAGUGAUAUUUGAAGGUAAAGAACCUCUUUCCUCACUUGGGAUUUUCUGCAUGGGUGUAUGGGAGGUACUUGGUUCAGGAAGUGACCUGGUCUUCCACUAACCUUAACUAAAACCUUGGACCAUGUAUUUUCAGAGGCAGGAGAUAAUGAAAACACUAUCUGCAGCAGAUCACAGUUAUUUUGCUCAAUGAAGAAGUUUGAGGCACUCGACUGUAGAGUGGAUUCUGUGUGACUUCAGUUUGGUAUGAGAUCUAAGGUACCAGACUGUGGGACACCAAUCUACUGCAAUUUCUACGUCGUCUUGCACUGCAAGAGGAAGAAAAUAAGACUGAGCAAUGUGUUUUAACCAGUAAGAGUGUGACUAGACUACUGCCUCACCUCUGCUGUUGCCAGUAUCAGAAAUCUGAGUCCAAAUAUCUAUAUUAUUUG